UGGGUUGGUCCCCUCCAAGUUCCUCUGCCCGCUCUCUGAUCUCACCCAGAUCGGCCCCCCCUCCCUCAGAGAGCGGCCCCUGGGUUUCAGGCACUUUUCUAGGCCCUGGCGGCACAGUAGUCCCGGGACGCUGUCUGGAAGGCAGGGACAGUAGUGUCCCCUCAGCGCCUCCUACCUGCCACCACUUCCACCUAUGCCAGGAGCGCCAGACCCGCCUCCAGACCCGCACCCGCCGAGCUCGGUGCGGAAGAGGCUGCAGGCGCCCGGGGCCUUGCCCUCGGAAGCAGGGGUCGCAGAGGGGCUCCGGCCUUGAGGAAGAUGGCUGAGGUCAGCGAGGCUGGGUUGUUUCCCUGUCCACAGCGCAUUAGGGACCAGAAAAGAAUGUUGGCGUCUCUGAGGUGAGCUGCUGUCACCUCAGGGUCCCGGGCUGGGGGUGACAAGAGCUAAGCUAAGACCAGGCCCCUAGGUGAGUGGAUUUUGCAUUGAUUUGGAAGUUGGUUCUGGCUAUUCAAAACAGUGCGGAAUUCCUUGGUGCUGAGGUCGCUUUGGAACUCGAGGUCUCACUUAGGCCGGCUUCUUGCCCCAGGAGCGACGGCCCUGAUGGAGAAAGGGAAGCCGCGCAGCCUCUCAGGUGGCCACAUCUCCCUCUAACCCGCACUGGCAGCUUGUCUGAGGUCUGGCUGCAGAGCUAUCUGAAAGGAGCUGCGCUAGGAGAUGCCAGUGGGGUGUCCCAGUCACACAAAACUGUAGGCACAAAUGGGUUGACCAUGCCUCAGUCUAGACUGCCCCCCUCAUCGCCCACCCCAGUGCCUGACCAGCUUGUAAUUACUUGACCAGUACAUGUGACCCUCAGCAGUCACCUGCUAAUAUAAGCUCCGAUUUCAAUCCACUUCACAUGCACCCUGCCCACGCAGGACCCUCACCUCCAACCUCCCCCGCCCCACUCCCUGCUCCAGUAUGCCUCGACUCCCCAGGCCUGCCUCAGCCUGCUGUCUUAGAAGAACUGGUAGUGUGUGGUCCUGGGCUCUGGCCUCUGGCCUCUGCAUCAUGUCAGCACGUGGUUGCCCUGGGCCGGAAGAGGGACACUGCUGUCCCUUCUGGUAUUCUGGGCAAGGGGGUGAGUAGGCUUUUCUCCAAAGUCCUGUAACACAGCUGAGAUCAGGCUGAAAUAUUUAGCAGGACCAUCCUGGAGGCUUGGACAAGCACAGGGCAGUGCGGUGCAAUCCACCUCCCAGCGUGGUGUCUGCUAGGGCCAUAGGAUCAUCCUUGGGGAGAUAGGGACUCUCACAGAGUUGUGGCUGCCAUCGUCUCCCCCCCAGAGAGAGGGCUCUGUCUGCCUCUCUAUAUUCAGGAGAGAGGAUGAGGACUUCCAUUCACCUUUGGGACAGCCUUUACUUUGUCCCCAGGCCCAAAGAGAAGAGGAAACUCCUUUUUCCUACAGCCCGGGACUCAGAUCCUCUCAUUUCUGUGCUUUGGUCUGUCUGUGCCUAGGACACUUGACAGUGGGGUUCAUCCAGUUGCGGACAGGGAGAGGGACAGUAGCUCCAUCCUCAGCGACAGCCCCACGCUGGGCCCUGCAGGCUCCACAGAGCCACCGCUGCUAUCAACACACUUGGGUAUCAGCUGGGCACAGGGGAUGUCAGGAGCACAGUCCAUUCCCUCCCUCCACCCACCCUUGGAUCAGGCAGCGCUCAUGUCUGCCUGGAACAUCUGUGUUCAGAUUCCUGGAGGCUUCACAGUUACCUUCAGGGAUAACGUGGGCAUUGGCUUCACUCAAGAUGGCUUUCCUAGAAAAGGGCAAAUCUGACUCUGGGGUGAAUUUAGGCAUCAACUCAUAUGGACAUAAACUGCUGGAUCCUUGAAGUACAGCUUAUGCAGAGUUUAAAAAUUCUCCAGGUUUGGGUCCAAGCUAGAGCAUCACUUUCCAUGGCUUUCUCUCCUCUCAUCUGUCUCCUGUUCUCCACCCUACUAUUUGAAAGCUCCCCAUUCCUCUCAAAUCUCCUACCACCCCCUUCCCCAACUGCCUGCCCUCAAUUCUGGGUGGCUGCCCUAAUUUGGGGUGAAAAUGAAAGCCAGCAGUCCACCAUUCCUCAGCUUCCCAUUAACUCACCUACACAAAGAGGCAUGGUGGCUCCUAGCCUCUCCUUUUCUCCUGUUACACUGGAGAAGGCUCACCACCCUGCCAAACCUGGCCCUCCUGCAUCUGGGAAGAGGAAGCAGGCAGCACGAGACUCUGUAGGCCACUAAAAAGACCCUGUCUUCCAUCUUGCUUGCCCUUUCCUGCUCUUUGACCUGCUCAUUCUGCUGGAAGCUGGUUACUGUGUUGUGAGCUGCCCUGUGGAGAGACUCAUGAGGCAAGGAGCUGAGUUCUUUGUUUCAAUAGCCUGUAAAGAACUGAAUUCUGCCAACAACCACAUGAAGGGCUUGGAAGUGAGCCCUCCUCCCUCAGGUGAGCCUUCAGAUGAGACCACAUCCCAGCCGACUGUAGUCUCAUCAGAGAUCCUGAGCCCAAGGAACCCAGCUACACCAGUUCAGAGUCUUGACUCACAGGAAUUGUGAGAAAAUAAAUGUUUACUAUUUUCAA